CGGGGCGUGGCGCAGUCUGGUAGCGCACCUGCUUUGGGAGCAGGGGGCCGGAGGUUCAAAUCCUCUCGCCCCGACCA
rnacentral:tRNA from 7 species